UCCCUGAUGGUCCAGUGGCUAAGGCUCCAUGCUCCCAAAGCAGGGGGCUCAGGUUCAAUCCCUGACCAGGGAA
rnacentral:tRNA from 1 species